rnacentral:lncRNA from 1 species
AUCUAAAAUGGUAAAAAUAUUCUGAAACUUAACACUGGUAUAUGGGUAUGAAUGGAUUGCUAAACAUGUUUUCCCAUCACCACAGGUUAACUAUAGAUGAUGUUAAGAAAACAUGUAUCACAUUGAAAGAACUUGAUUCACUUUAAUGAAUUUUCACAGAGAUUAAUUAGCUAACUAGAGGCACAUACAAACUUGCAACUACAUUCACAAACAAAGCAUAUAAUGAUUCUUUUCUUAGAGACAUUCUAACAAACACCACAUAUGCAAUGAAUUUUCAUCAACAUAUAUCCUCUAAAUUAAUCAAUAAUCCAAAAUACCUAUAUCAAAGAAAAUUAACAGGAAGAACAAACUUUAUCUAGUUUGCCAAAAUUGAAGCAAAUAUGGAAUUUCGAAGUCACUCUAAUUCCAAAACCCAGUUACCGGAAGAACAAACUUACAGGGUUAUGUUCCAAAUAAAAUUCAAUAACCAAACAAAAAAUAUAUAAACUCAACUGAAGGGUUUAAUUAAAAUGAAUUGACUUACUUGAAUAUUAAUGGAAGCUCAACUGACGGCGACGGCGGCGGAGGCGGAGGGCGGGAGAAGGAAUACGGUUCGGGUUUCAAAGAGAUCGAAGAAGACGAUUUAGGGAUUUAGGAAUUUAGGGUUUCAAAGAGAAGAAUUUUAUGUGUUUGCUGUGAUUUGGGAUUUAGGGAUUUGGGAUUUAGGGAUUUCAAAGAGUUUUAUGCCAUGAUUUGGGAUUUCGAAGUCACGAUUUGGGAUUUGUGGGACGAAGACGAAGAAGACGAAGUUUCGCUGCGUUUGGAUGAAAAAAACGAAUGCUGCGUGAAUGAAUUGAAUGAAAAGAACAGCAUAUAAUUAAUUCUCAGUUAAGGGAUUCCACUACGGGUGAAUACCAAAUCAGUAGUGAAAUUCAAUUAAAACAAAUUUCAACGUAAUUACAACAAUGCCACCGUGUCUACUUUUCACUACUGAUUUAAGAAAACCAGUAGUGAAAUCCCUUGUCUAUGAACUUUUCACUACUGGUAUUCAAAUAUCAGUAGUGAAAUCCUUUGGUUAAAUGUGUUCCACUACUGGUAUUCACAUACCAGUAGUGG